rnacentral:rRNA from 1 species
AGAGUUUGAUCCUGGCUCAGGAUGAACGCUGGCGGCGUGCCUAACACAUUCAAGUCGAACGGUGAAGGGACUUCGGUCCCGGAUCAGUGGCGGACGGGUGAGUAACGCGUGAGCAACCUGCCUUUGCUUGGGGGAUAACGUUUGGAAACGAACGCUAAUACCGCAUAAAACAGCAUUCCGGCAUCGGGAAGCUGUCAAAGAUUUAUUGAGCAGAGAUGGGCUCGCGUCCGAUUAGAUAGUUGGUGAGGUAACGGCUCACCAAGUCGACGAUCGGUAGCCGGACUGAGAGGUUGAACGGCCACAUUGGAACUGAGAUACGGUCCAGACUCCUACGGGAGGCAGCAGUGGGGAAUAUUGGGCAAUGGGCGAAAGCCUGACCCAGCAACGCCGCGUGAAGGAAGAAGGUCUUCGGAUUGUAAACUUCUUUUAUCAGGGACGAAGUAAGUGACGGUACCUGAUGAAUAAGCCACGGCUAACUACGUGCCAGCAGCCGCGGUAAUACGUAGGUGGCAAGCGUUAUCCGGAUUUACUGGGUGUAAAGGGUGUGUAGGCGGGUCUGCAAGUCAGAUGUGAAAACUAUGGGCUCAACUCAUAGCUUGCAUUUGAAACUGUGGAUCUUGAGUGUCGGAGAGGUAAAUGGAAUUCCCGGUGUAGAGGUGAAAUUCGUAGAUAUCGGGAGGAACACCAGUGGCGAAGGCGGUUUACUGGACGAUUACUGACGCUGAGACACGAAAGUGUGGGGAGCAAACAGGAUUAGAUACCCUGGUAGUCCACACUGUAAACGAUGAAUGCUAGGUGUAGGGGGUAUCGACCCCUUCUGUGCCGCAGUCAACACAAUAAGCAUUCCGCCUGGGGAGUACGGCCGCAAGGUUGAAACUCAAAGGAAUUGACGGGGGCCCGCAC